GACGAACGCUGGCGGCGUGCCUAACACAUGCAAGUCGAGCGGAGCGGCGGACGGGUGAGUAAUGCCUAGGAAUCUGACUGGUAGUGGGGGAUAACGUCCGGAAACGGGCGCUAAUACCGCAUACUAUCAGAUGAGCCUAGGUCGGAUUAGCUAGUUGGUGGGGUAAAGGCCUACCAAGGCGACGAUCCGGAACUGGUCUGAGAGGAUGAUCAGUCACACUGGGACUGAGACACGGUCCAGACUCCUACGGGAGGCAGCAGUGGGGAAUAUUGGAAAAUGGGCGAAAGCCUGAUCGAGCCAUGCCGCGUGAGUGAAGAAGGUCUUCGGAUUGUAAAGCACUUUAAGUUGUGAGGCGUUACCAACAGAAUAAGCACCGGCUAACUUCGUGCCAGCCGCCGCGGUAAUUC
rnacentral:rRNA from 1 species